UCCUGGCUCAGGAUGAACGCUAGCGGCAGGCCUAAUACAUGCAAGUCGAACGGUAGAUUACUUUCGGGUAAUUGAGAGUGGCGAACGGGUGCGUAACGCGUAUGCAACCUACCCUAUACAGGAGGAUAGCCCGGAGAAAUCUGGAUUAAUACCCCAUAGUAUCAUUGAGCUGCAUGGUUUAAUGAUUAAAGAUUCAUCGGUAUAGGAUGGGCAUGCGUCUGAUUAGCUAGUUGGCGGUGUAACGGACCACCAAGGCUACGAUCAGUAGGGGUUCUGAGAGGAAGGUCCCCCACACUGGCACUGAGAUACGGGCCAGACUCCUACGGGAGGCAGCAGUAGGGAAUAUUGGGCAAUGGACGAGAGUCUGACCCAGCCAUGCCGCGUGCAGGAAGACGGCGUUCUGCGUUGUAAACUGCUUUUAUCUGGGAAGAAAAUGCCCCUGCGGGGGAAAUUGCCGGUACCAGAUGAAUAAGCACCGGC
rnacentral:rRNA from 2 species